CUCUAAGUAGCUAGCAUCCAUAGCGCUGGCCUUUUAAGCCAGAGACGGGCCACUGACCCCUUAGAGC
rnacentral:tRNA from 1 species